AUUGAACGCUGGCGGAAUGCUUUACACAUGCAAGUCGAACGGCAGCACGGACUUCGGUCUGGUGGCGAGUGGCGAACGGGUGAGUAAUGUAUCGGAACGUGCCCAGUCGUGGGGGAUAACGUAGUGAAAAUUACGCUAAUACCGCAUACGAUCUAUGGAUGAAAGCGGGGGAUCGCAAGAGCUAGCGCGAUUGGAGCGGCCGAUAUCAGAGUAGGUAGUUGGUGGGGUAAAGGCCCACCAAGCCAACGAUCUGUAGCUGGUCUGAGAGGACGACCAGCCACACUGGAACUGAGACACGGUCCAGACUCCUACGGGAGGCAGCAGUGGGGAAUUUUGGACAAUGGGCGAAAGCCUGAUCCAGCCACUCCGCGUGCAGGAUGAAGGCCCUCGGGUUGUAAACUGCUUUUGUACAGAACGAAAAGGUUUCUACUAAUACUAGGAGCUCAUGACGGUACUGUAAGAAUAAGCACCGGCUAACUACGUACCAGCCGCCGCAGUAA
rnacentral:rRNA from 1 species